GAUGAACGCUGGCGGCGUGCCUAACACAUGCAAGUCGAACGGAAUUUACAUGAAGCCUAGCGAUUGUUAAUUUAGUGGCGGACGGGUGAGUAACGCGUGGGUAACCUGCCUUGUACUGGGGGACAACAGUUGGAAACGACUGCUAAUACCGCAUAAGCGCACAGCUUCGCAUGAAGCAGUGUGAAAAACUCCGGUGGUACAAGAUGGACCCGCGUCUGAUUAGCUGGUUGGUGAGGUAACGGCCCACCAAGGCGACGAUCAGUAGCCGGCCUGAGAGGGUGAACGGCCACAUUGGGACUGAGACACGGCCCAAACUCCUACGGGAGGCAGCAGUGGGGAAUAUUGCACAAUGGGGGAAACCCUGAUGCAGCAACGCCGCGUGAGUGAAGAAGUAUUUCGGUAUGUAAAAGCUCUAUCAGCAGGAAAGAAAAAUGACGGUACCUGACUAAGAA
rnacentral:rRNA from 1 species